rnacentral:rRNA from 1 species
AACGAACGCUGGCGGCGUGCCUAACACAUGCAAGUCGAGCGGGAUCCAACCGGUGGCAACACCGGGGAAGAUCUAGCGGCGAACGGGUGAGUAACACGUGAGCAACCUGCCCCGAAGACUGGGAUAACACCGGGAAACCGGUGCUAAUACCGGAUGUCGUCAUUAGGCCGCAUGACCUGAUGAUGAAAGGAUUCAUCGCUUCGGGAGGGGCUCGCGGGCUAUCAGCNGUUGGUGGGGUAACGGCCUACCAAGGCGACGACGGCUAGCUGGUCUGAGAGGACGACCAGCCACACUGGGACUGAGACACGGCCCAGACUCCUACGGGAGGCAGCAGUGGGGAAUCUUGCGCAAUGGGCGAAAGCCUGACGCAGCAACGCCGCGUGGGGGAUGAAUGCCUU